AUUGAACGCUGGCGGCAUGCCUUACACAUGCAAGUCGAACGGUAACAGGUCUUCGGAUGCUGACGAGUGGCGAACGGGUGAGUAAUACAUCGGAACGUGCCCGAUCGUGGGGGAUAACGCAGCGAAAGCUGUGCUAAUACCGCAUACGAUCUACGGAUGAAAGCGGGGGAUCGCAAGACCUCGCGCGGACGGAGCGGCCGAUGGCAGAUUAGGUAGUUGGUGGGAUAAAAGCUUACCAAGCCGACGAUCUGUAGCUGGUCUGAGAGGGCGACCAGCCACACUGGGACUGAGGCACGGCCCAGACUCCUACGGGAGGCAGCAGUGGGGAAUUUUGGACAAUGGGCGCAAGCCUGAUCCAGCCAUGCCGCGUGCAGGAUGAAGGCCUUCGGGUUGUAAACUGCUUUUGUACGGAACGAAAAAGCUCUCUCUAAUACAGGGGGUGAAUGACGGUACCGUAAGAAUAAGCACCGGCUAACUACGUG
rnacentral:rRNA from 1 species